GAUCUGUAUUGCUUCCAACACCAACCGUCAACAAAAUUACAUGUCAACGCCACCACCAUGCUCCGACUACGCCUCGCCGACGUCCGCGGCGGAGACAGCUGAUAGACGUUCUCCGACGAGGAAGCAAUGUUGCGUGCACUGAUUUCAAUACACCGGCACAGUUUGGAGCCCUGUUAAGCUAAUUCCACGCCACCAUGUCAAGGUUUGUUUGUGGAAAUGUUAGAAGGUUUGUGCGUUCUUCUGGUCAGAAACAUGGCUUUGAUGUAUUUAAUUUUGAGUCGCAUCAUCCAAGAUGCUCCGCUUACUCAACAUGCCAAUUUUUCUCAUCCUACAGUAAACUUGUACACAAAGGACAAACUCCGCUCAUGUACCUUUUCAAAUUAAAGUAUAAUAACAUCAAUCUAAUUAGCAAAGGGAGAAACAUCUAUUACCUCCCUGCAAAUAGUGCAAACUACCACCAUCCUCAAAUUAUUUGGAGCAGGAUUUCUCAAAUGUGUUUCCCACCAAUUCCACCACCAAUAGGUCAGAUUGCCCGUGCAGUUAGUUUGGCAUUGGCUCGAUCGAAUAUUCUUAUUCCUGGUUUCAUUGCAUUCGUAAUAGAGGAGCUUGCUUGGACACAACAAUCAUGGGCUGAAGCAGAAUCCUUCCCAAAUAGAGAUUCAUUUUACAUACAUGCACUAGAUGGACGUAUAUAUCUAACCUCAGCUAUCUUAGAAGCUCUCAAGAUUGUUAUCUUGUUUAUCAGGGCUAUCUAUUUAAUAGUUUUAUUCUUCCCCUGCGUAGCUAUGGCUCCUUUAGUGAACCAUUUUGGUGAUCAAUUUAGGCAAACAUGGAUUCAUGUUGUUCGCCUUACACUUGAAAAGGCCGGGCCAGCAUUUAUUAAAUGGGGUCAAUGGGCUGCAACCAGACCAGAUCUCUUCCCUAGGGAUCUCUGUGGAGAACUUUCAGAAUUUCACACCAAAGCACCAUCACACAAAUUUGCUUAUAGCAGAGCAUGUGUUGAAAAUGCAUUUGGGCGCAAGUUGACGGAAAUAUUUGAAAAUUUUGAUGAGGAACCAGUAGCAUCAGGUAGCAUUGCUCAAGUUCAUCGAGCUACUCUAAAAUACAAAUACCCAGGCCAGCAAAUGAAACCUCUUGUCGUGGCAGUGAAGGUCCGACAUCCAGGGGUUGCUGAUGCGAUUAGAAGGGAUUUCAUCAUCAUCAAUAUAAUUGCUAAGAUUUCAUGUUUAUUCCCUAAUUUGAAGUGGUUGAGAUUAGAUGAAAGUGUGCAACAAUUUGCUGUUUAUAUGAUGUCUCAGGUUGAUCUUUCAAGGGAAGCAGCACAUCUUAGUCGUUUUAUCUAUAAUUUCCGCCGAUGGAAAGAUGUUUCAUUCCCAAUGCCUCUAUACCCCCUAGUGCACCCAUCUGUUUUGGUGGAAACCUAUGAACAAGGUGAAAGUGUUUUGCACUAUGUUCACGAGCUUAAAGGCCAGGAGCAUAUCAAAAGUGCCCUAGCUCAUAUUGGAACACAUGCUCUUUUAAAGAUGCUUUUGGUGGAUAAUUUUAUUCAUGCUGACAUGCAUCCAGGAAAUAUUCUUGUCCGUGUUGCAAAAAGCAAACUAUCACCUAUAGGACUCUUUAAGUCAAGGCCCCAUGUCAUUUUCCUUGAUGUAGGCCUUACUACUGAACUUUCUAAAAUGGAGCGGGAAAAUUUACUGAAAUUUUUUAAGGCUGUUGCUCUUCAAGAUGGCCGCAGUGCUGCGGAAUCUACUCUUAGGUUAUCAAGACGACAAAAUUGUCCAGACCCCAUAUCUUUCACUGAGCAUUUAACAGGAGGUGGAGAAAUCAUUUGAGUUCUGGAGAUCCACAGAAGGUGAAAGAGUCAGCACAGCUGACCGUAUACAACAGUUGCUUGAGCAUGUUAGGUUCCAUAGAGUCAAUUUGGAUGGCAAUGUCUGUGCUGUGAUGGUGACCACAUUGGUUCUGGAGGGUUGGCAGCGGAAGCUUGAUCCGGAAUAUGACGUGAUGCAUACUUUGCAGACACUCCUAUUUAAAAAAGACGACUGGGCAGAGUCUAUGUCUCAUGCCAUUGAAGGAGUGGUAGCUCCGUAAAGAGGUGGCUGUUUGAUGGCAAGCAAUUCUUUCCUUUCCCCAAUUUUGAGGUUGUACACUUAGCAAUAGCUGAUAAUUUGUAUUCAAUUUUUUCGGUUUCUUUUAUUGUAGUUUUUAACGAGUUCUUAAUAAAUGGAGGGAACUAGUUAUUGUAAAGUUUUGAAAUAAAUUUAUUUUAUGGAUAUUAACCCUUGAUGUAAACUAAAAUAACAAACACAUGAAAUGAAUAAGCAUUCA